rnacentral:rRNA from 1 species
UGUAUGCCAGCACAUGCCGCGUGGGUGAAAGAAGUCCUUCGGAUUUGUAAGCUCCUUUUGUUGGGAAGAAACCUACUGGUCGAAAACCGAGUGGCCAUGAACGGUCCCUGACAAGAAACCCCGGGUAAAUUCCUGGCCACCACCCCGGUGAUUCCAAAGGUGGAAGGGUUACUCGGAAUUACUGGGCGUAAAGGGGGGGGAAGGCGUCGUUUAAAUCCUGUGUGUAAGCCCUGGGCUUAACCCGGGGACUGCAAUGGAUACUGGGCGACUUGAGUGUGGAAAAGGGAAGCGGAAUUCCUGGUGUAACAGUAAAAUGCGUAAAGGUCAGGAAGAACAUCCUUGGCGAAGGUGGCUUCCUGGACCAUCACUGACACUCAGGCACGAAUGCCUGGGGAGCACACAGGAUUAAAUACCCUGGUAGUCCACGCCCUAAACUAUUCGUACUGGAUGUUGGGUGCGAUUUGGCACGCACUACCGAAGCUUACGCGUUAAGUUCUCCGCCUGGGGAGUACGGUCGCAAGACUGAAACUCAAGGAAUUGACGGGGGCCCGCAUAAGCAGUGGAUAUGUGGUUUAAUUCGAUGCAACGCGAAAACUUACCUGGACUUGACAUGUCCCUUACUUUCCAGAGAUCGAGUGUUGCCUUCGUGAACUCGAAAACAGGUGCUGCAUGGUCUUUUGGUCCAAAA